CCUACGGGAGGCAGCAGUAGGGAAUCUUCCACAAUGGGCGAAAGCCUGAUGGAGCAACGCCGCGUGGGUGAAGAAGGUCUUCGGAUCGUAAAACCCUGUUGUUAGAGAAGAAAGUGCGUGAGAGUAACUGUUCACGUUUCGACGGUAUCUAACCAGACAGCCCCGGCUAACUACGUGCCAGCAGCCGCGGUAAUACGUAGGUGGCAAGCGUUAUCCGGAUUUAUUGGGCGUAAAGGGAACGCAGGCGGUCUUUUAAGUCUGAUGUGAAAGCCUUCGGCUUAACCGGAGUAGUGCAUUGGAAACUGGGAGACUUGAGUGCAGAAGAGGAGAGUGGAACUCCAUGUGUAGCGAUGAAAUGCGUAGAUAUAGGGAAGAACACCAGUGGCGAAAGCGGCUCUCUGGGCUGUAACUGACGCUGAGGUGCGAAAGCGUGGGUAGCAAACAGGAUUAGAUACCCGAGUAGUC
rnacentral:rRNA from 1 species